rfam:Picea glauca, whole genome shotgun sequence.
UGAACAUAGAAAAAGAAUUGGGUUAAUAUUCCUGAACCUGGACAUGGUGGUGGACGACAAUGUUAGGAAAUCUGGAGAUAUCAUCGGGGGCCUGGGAAGAGUUAUAUUUUCUUUUUAAUGACUUUCCCACCUUGAAAUCGGUUCAACCGGAGAUAAGGUACAACCUCUGAAAGAGCACACACGUCUUGUGGUUUUUGGUGCCCCCUUGGCAGCCAUUGUAAAUAUGGUGAACCGAGUACCAUCCAUGCCCGAUCGUACUCAUAUAUGCCUCCUUGGAUUUUUCAAUGUCCACUAGGU